UGGAACAUUAGUUCUCCCUA
rnacentral:siRNA from 1 species